GGUAGAGUAUGUUAGAGUGAGGUAGAGCAUGGUAGAGUGAGGUAGAGUGUCAUAGACUAUAAUAGAGAAUAGUAGAGUGAGGUAGAGUAUGUUAGAGUGAGGUAGAGCAUGGUAGAGUGAGGUAGAGUGUCAUAGACUAUAAUAGAGUAUGGUAGAGUGAGGUAGAGCAUGGUAGAGUGAGGUAGAGUGUCAUAGACUAUAAUAGAGUAUGGUAGAGUGAGGUACAGCAUGGUUAUAGUGAGGAAGAGUAUGUUAGAGUGAGGUAGAGUGUCAUAGACUAUAAUAGAGUAUGGUAGAGUGAGGUAGAGCAUGGAAGAGUGAGGUAGAGUGUCAUAGACUAUAAUAGAGUAUGGUAGAGUGAGGUAGAGUGUCAUAGACUAUAAUAGAGUAUGGUAGAGUGAGGUAGAGCAUGGUAGAGUGAGGUAGAGUGUCAUAGACUAUAAUAGAGUAUGAUAGAGUGAGGUAGAGUGUCAUAGACUAUAAUAGAGUAUGGUAGAGUGAGGUAGAGCAUGGUAGAGUGAGGUAGAGCAUGGUAGAGUGAGGUAGAGUGUCAUAGACUAUAAUAGAGAAUAGUAGAGUGAGGUAGAGUAUGUUAGAGUGAGGUAGAGCAUGGUAGAGUGAGGUAGAGUGUCAUAGACUAUAAUAGAGUAUGGUAGAGUGAGGUAGAGCAUGGUAGAGUGAGGUAGAGCAUGGUAGAGUGAGGUAGAGUGUCAUAGACUAUAAUAGAGAAUAGUAGAGUGAGGUAGAGUAUGUUAGAGUGAGGUAGAGCAUGGUAGAGUGAGGUAGAGUGUCAUAGACUAUAAUAGAGUAUGGUGGAGUGAGGUACAGCAUGGUUAUAGUGAGGAAGAGUAUGUUAGAGUGAGGUAGAGUGUCAUAGACUAUAAUAGAGUAUGGUAGAGUGAGGUAGAGUGUCAUAGACUAUAAUAGAGUAUGGUAGAGUGAGGUAGAGUGUCAUAGACUAUAAUAGAGUAUGGUAGAGUGAGGUAGAGUGUCAUAGACUAAUAGAGUAUGGUAGAGUGAAGUAGAGUAUGGUAGAGUGAGGUAGAGCAUGGCAUACCAUGGUCGAGUGAGGUAGAGUGUCAUAGACUAUAAUAGAGCCUGGUUAUAGUGAGGAAGAGUAUGCUAGAGUGAGUAGAGCCUGGUAGAGUAAGGUAGAGCGUUGAAGACUGUUAUAGAACUUGGUAUAGUGAGGUAGACGGUAAUUGAGUGAGGUAGAGUGUGGGAGAACAUGGUAGAUUGUAAUAGAGUGUAGUAAAGCUUGUGGUAGAGUGAGGUAAAGUGUAGUAGAGCAGCGUAGACCCUGAUAGACUCUAAUAUAGUGUGGUAGAGCAUGGUAGACUAUAAUAGAGUAUGGCAGAGAGAGAUUGGGCAUGACAUAAUGUGGUAGGUGAGGUAAAUC